UACGUAGGGUCCGAGCGUUGUCCGGAAUCACUGGGCGUAAAGCGCACGUAGGCGGAUUGUUAAGUCAGGGGUGAAAUCCUGGAGCUCAACUCCAGAACUGCCUUUGAUACUGGCGAUCUUGAGUCCGGGAGAGGUGAGUGGAACUGCGAGUGUAGAGGUGAAAUUCGUAGAUAUUCGCAAGAACACCAGUGGCGAAGGCGGCUCACUGGCCCGGUACUGACGCUGAGGUGCGAAAGCGUGGGGAG
rnacentral:rRNA from 1 species